rnacentral:rRNA from 1 species
AGGCAAUAGAUACCCGGGUAGUCCACGCCGUAAACGAUGUGGAGCCCGGUGUCGGUGCGUGAUUGCGCGCAGCGGUGCCUAAGCUUACGCGAUGACUCCACCGCCUGGGAACUACGGCCGCAAGGCUAAAACUCAAAGGGAAUUGACGGGGGCCCGGCCACAAGCAGCGGAGCGUGUGGUUUAAUUUACGACGCAACACGAAGCACCUCACCUGGGUUUGGUACGUGCACCUGCAAGCCGCUGAAAGGACGGUCGCCUUCGUAGGGUGGUGCACAGGUGCUGCAUGGCUGUCGUCAGCUCGUGUCGUGAGAUG